rnacentral:rRNA from 1 species
GGURGCUAAUACCGCAUAACGUCUUCGGACCAAAGUGGGGGACCUUCGGGCCUCACACCAUCGGAUGUGCCCAGAUGGGAUUAGCUAGUAGGUGAGGUAACGGCUCACCUAGGCGACGAUCCCUAGCUGGUCUGAGAGGAUGACCAGCCACACUGGAACUGAGACACGGUCCAGACUCCUACGGGAGGCAGCAGUGGGGAAUAUUGCACAAUGGGCGCAAGCCUGAUGCAGCCAUGCCGCGUGUGUGAAGAAGGCCUUCGGGUUGUAAAGCACUUUCAGCGAGGAGGAAGGCAGUCGUGUUAAUAGCGCGAUUGAUUGACGUUACUCGCAGAAGAAGCACCGGCUAACUCCGUGCCAGCAGCCGCGGUAAUACGGAGGGUGCAAGCGUUAAUCGGAAUUACUGGGCGUAAAGCGCACGCAGGCGGUUUGUUAAGUCAGAUGUGAAAUCCCCGCGCUUAACGU